rnacentral:lncRNA from 1 species
CAACCGUGCAGUUUCCCCUGUCCCGUGAGGGUAGGGGGCAGGUGUGCUGCUGCGGGCGGGCGUUCUGCGUUUUUCCUCUGCUCUCCCGUUUACCUCACCUAGCCGAGCCGCCAGCGCCUGAGGGGAGUGGGUGCGGGUCCCUAGUCCCCCGGAGGGGGUGGACGCCAGCGGUGUCUCUCCUUGUGCCCGGGUGGUCGGCUCGGUGUCCCCCGACCGUCUCUUCUCAGGCGCGUCCAUCCCCCACUCUUCGAGUUCCCAGCCCUACUUCUUCGAGGGGCAGGUGCUGGGACGCCCCUGGGUCAUAGUGGACAAACUUCCCGUGGCCAGGGCCGGUGACCUUCGAUGAUGUGGACGUGGGCUUCAGAAACCAAGAGUGCAGUCGCCUGGACUGGCCUGAGAAGGCUCUUUACCCGGACGUGCUAUUAAAGAAUUACGGAAACGCCAUGACACUGAGAUUUUCAGUCUAUAAAACUGAAGUGAUAAGCCACUUGGAAAGUGGGGAAGCCUUAUGUAUCUUGGCUGGACAGAGAACCAUAGCCAGAGCGUGGAGAGCUGUGCAAGAAGGAAAGCGAGAGGAGGAAGUGCACGCGACAGGAUGCUGCGUUGUCUCCUUAAGCGUGUGCGUGUUUGGACAUUUUCCCCUUGAAGGAAGGAUCCUGGAAGGCCCUGCUUCCUUUAGGUUUGCUGUGCCGGUUCGGGUGUUUCUUGAGCUGCCUUCGAAGUGGUUACAUUCCCGUGGGCCUCAGGUGUGA